CUAGUAGGCGGCUUAGCAAGUCGGGUGUGAAAACUUCAGGCUCAACCUGGAGCGGCCAUCCGAUACUGCUAUGGCUAGAGUCCGGUAGGGGACCACGGAAUUCCUGGUGUAGCGGUGAAAUGCGCAGAUAUCAGGAGGAACACCGAUGGCGAAGGCAGUGGUCUGGGCCGGAACUGACGCUGAAUAGCGAAAGCGUGGGUAGCGAACA
rnacentral:rRNA from 1 species